rnacentral:rRNA from 1 species
GACGAACGCUGGCGGCGUGCUUAACACAUGCAAGUCGAACGCUGAAACCAGAUGCUUGCAUUUGGUGGAUGAGUGGCGAACGGGUGAGUAACACGUGGGUGAUCUGCCCUACACUUUGGGAUAAGCCUGGGAAACUGGGUCUAAUACCGAAUAUUCACACCACCGUAGGGGUGGUGUGGAAAGCCUUGUGCGGUGUGGGAUGAGCCUGCGGCCUAUCAGCUUGUUGGUGGGGUAAUGGCCUACCAAGGCGUCGACGGGUAGCCGGCCUGAGAGGGUGUACGGCCACAUUGGGACUGAGACACGGCCCAGACUCCUACGGGAGGCAGCAGUGGGGAAUAUUGCACAAUGGGCGCAAGCCUGAUGCAGCGACGCCGCGUGGGGGAUGACGGCCUUCGGGUUGUAAACUCCUUUCGCUAGGGACGAAGCCUAUGGUGACGGUACCUGGAGAAGAAGCACCGGCUAACUACGUGCCAGCCGCCGCAGUAACAC